UUACGGCCACAUCAUGUGCAAACAUCGGUUCUCAUACGAUCAUCGAAGUUAAGCAACGUUGAGCUGGGUCAGUAUCUAGAUGGGUUACCGCUUUGGAAUACCAGGAUCUGUAA